GGGGCUGUAGCUCAGUUGGUCAGAGCACCUGCUUUGCAAGCAGGGGGUCAAGGGUUCGACUCCCUUCAGCUCCA
rfam:Candidatus Peribacteria bacterium RIFCSPLOWO2_12_FTLL_53_10 rifcsplowo2_12_scaffold_39676, whole genome shotgun sequence.